rnacentral:tRNA from 2 species
GGCAGCAUAGCCAGUUGGUAAGGCAAAGGUUACAAAACCUCGAUUCUCGGUUCAAUUCCGGGUGCUGCCUCCC